rnacentral:rRNA from 1 species
GUCUCCAGACAGACCACCCUGAACAGGCCUGAUCUUGUCUGAUCUCAGAAGCUAAGCAGGGUGGGCCUGAUUAGUACUUGGGUGGAAGAAUGGCCUGGGAGAUG